rnacentral:rRNA from 1 species
GAUGAACGCUGGCGGCGUGCCUAAUACAUGCAAGUCGAGCGAACAGACGAGGAGCUUGCUCCUCUGACGUUAGCGGCGGACGGGUGAGUAACACGUGGAUAACCUACCUAUAAGACUGGGAUAACUUCGGGAAACCGUAGCUAAUACCGGAUAAUAUAUUGAACCGCAUGGUUCAAUAGUGAAAGACGGUUUUGCUGCCACUUAUAGAUGGAUCCGCGCCGCAUUAGCUAGUUGGUAAGGUAACGGCUUACCAAGGCAACGAUGCGUAGCCGACCUGAGAGGGUGAUCGGCCACACUGGAACUGAGACACGGUCCAGACUCCUACGGGAGGCAGCAGUAGGGAAUCUUCCGCAAAGGGCGAAAGCCUGACGGAGCAACGCCGCGUGAGUGAUGAAGGUCUUCGGAUCGUAAAACUCUGUUAUUAGGGAAGAACAAAUGUGUAAGUAACUAUGCACGUCUUGACGGUACCUAAUCAGAAAGCCACGGCUAACUACGUG